CUCUAACUCGUUUCUCUAGAGCCUUU
rnacentral:piRNA from 1 species